UAUGAGCCCGGCGAAGUUGGAAAGCAGUGUCAGCAGUACCAAAAGCCCAUUCCCUGUCAUUCCUCCGUGACCUGCAGCGUGGGAAAUCGUAUGGUUCAUAUCUGGAUACGGAGGAUACGGCACGGUGACGUGGAAACACGAAAACUCCCUGGACUGUAGUCGCGGCGGGGCGGCCUGGGAAAGUCUGCAUCGCAGUGGCGGGAACCGCAGCCCUGAGGCCCUGGAACCUCCCAGCCAGUGGUGUGACUGUGGACUUCUCCCAGGAGGAGUGCACCAGGACGGACUGGAUGUUGCAGAAUUGCAGCAGUAUGGUUUCUGUAGCUGAGAAUAUUUUGUUUGCAGCCUUCCUUGCUCCUCCUCAGGAUUUCUUGACAAAUUAAUCUGGCUCACUGAUCACCCAGACCUGCUCACCUGUGCAGCAGAACAAAAGGCCUGGAAGGAGAGGAGACAGCAGCUAAGGAUGCAGAAAUAAUUUUGGACACUUCCACUGAGAAAAUCUCUUCAGUUGUUGUAAUGUUGGCAUGAGAAGACUUUCUACAGAAGAAUUGAUAAU